rnacentral:lncRNA from 1 species
CUGAGUUUAAGAUGGUUUAAGAUGAUCAGCACACAGGUAAUUAAUUUCCACCCUCAUUCUGGCCUAAAUUUCCCACACGUUUUGUAACGGUGGGUUUGGGUCUUUUUUUGUGGCUGAUACCCCUCCAGGUUUCCCCAGGCUGCUGGUCUCAGCUCCGUUUGGCUGGAGAUGCUGUUAACUCUUCCCAUUCCCCUUGCUGUGGCAUGGUUGUCUGCAGAGCCCCCUUAUUUUGGAGGCACAACUGCAAAAGGCUGACAGAAAUUUGACUUGGCCUCGUGCUUCACUUGCUGUUCUGCAUCACAAGCCUGAGCACCGCUCCUCUAGGGUGCUGUGGGGAAUUCAGCUCCUUCAAGUGCUGGAGUUGCAAUGAGAUUCUGCUGGGAGAGCCUGACAGGACAUUCAGUUGGUACAAAGCAGAUCUGUACAGACCAUCGCUCCAUCGCUCCAGUACAGAAGUGUCUUGUCACAGUAGUGAAGGACUGUCACAUCUUGCACACCAUGUUAUUUUCAUUGCCAGCAUAGCGAGUAGAAAAGCGUCACAACCGAGUUUCCUCUUGGCAGGAUUUAUAUUGCCUAAUUUUAAAUAUCUACAGCGUAGAUGUCAAAGUAAGAGCUCAUUAUCCAAAGUCGCCG